CCCAAACACCCGGACACCACAGGUGCUGCAGACAGUUCCCAUGGGAUGCUGGUGGUGGCAGUGGCUGGGGGCUGCACUGCUGCCUUUGUCUUCAUCCUCAUCCUUGUUGUCUUCUUCCUCCUCGGUGCCUGCAGACGUCGGAUACGGAGAGAUGAGUGCCCUGGCACCCCUGCAGAAAGGCCUGAGGACAUGGAAUUCCAGGUGCCUUCCAGUGACAGCGAGGGUCUGACCUACAUGGAGCUGCAAGCUGUGACCCCCAGCACUCAGCCCC